rnacentral:rRNA from 1 species
UUCUACGGAACAACUGAGGGAAACUUCAGCUAAUACCGUAUACGCCCUACGGGGGAAAGAUUUAUCGGAAUUGGAUGAGCCCGCGUUGGAUUAGCUAGUUGGUGAGGUAACGGCUCACCAAGGCGACGAUCCAUAGCUGGUCUGAGAGGAUGAUCAGCCACACUGGGACUGAGACACGGCCCAGACUCCUACGGGAGGCAGCAGUGGGGAAUAUUGGACAAUGGGCGAAAGCCUGAUCCAGCCAUGCCGCGUGAGUGAUGAAGGCCUUAGGGUUGUAAAGCUCUUUCAGUGGGGAAGAUAAUGACGGUACCCACAGAAGAAGCCCCGGCUAACUUCGUGCCAGCAGCCGCGGUAAUACGAAGGGGGCUAGCGUUGUUCGGAUUUACUGGGCGUAAAGCGCACGUAGGCGGAUCGUUAAGUCGGGGGUGAAAUCCUGGAGCUCAACUCCAGAACUGCCUUCGAUACUGGCGAUCUUGAGU